GAUGAACGCUGGCGGCGUGCCUAAUACAUGCAAGUCGAGCGAACGGACGAGAAGCUUGCUUCUCUGAUGUUAGCGGCGGACGGGUGAGUAACACGUGGAUAACCUACCUAUAAGACUGGGAUCACUUCGGGAAACCGGAGCUAAUACCGGCUAAUAUUUUGAACCGCAUGGUUCAAAAGUGAAAGACGGUCUUGCUGUCACUUAUAGAUGGAUCCGCGCUGCAUUAGCUAGUUGGUAAGGUAACGGCUUACCAAGGCAACGAUGCAUAGCCGACCUGAGAGGGUGAUCGGCCACACUGGAACUGAGACACGGUCCAGACUCCUACGGGAGGCAGCAGUAGGGAAUCUUCCGCAAUGGGCGAAAGCCUGACGGAGCAACGCCGCGUGAGUGAUGAAGGUCUUCGGAUCGUAAAACUCUGUUAUUAGGGAAGAACAUAUGUGUAAGUAACUGUGCACGUCUUGACGGUACCUAAUCAGAAAGCCACGGCUAACUACGUG
rnacentral:rRNA from 1 species